CCUACGGGAGGCAGCAGUGGGGAAUAUUGCUCAAUGGGGGAAACCCUGAUGCAGCAACGCCGCGUGGGGGACGAAGGGUUUCGGCGUGUAAAGCCCUUUUGGCAGGGGAGAAAAUGACGGUACCUGACGAAUAAGCACCGGCUAACUCCGUGCCAGCAGCCGGGGUAAUACGGAGGGAGCAAGCGUUAUUCGGAUUUACUGGGGGUAAAGGGGGCGGAGGCGGGAAUGCAAGCCAGUAGUGAAAGCCCGGGGCCCAACCCUGGCACUGCAGUUGAAACUGCAGGGCUAGAGUACAGGAGUGGUAGGCGGAAUUAGUAGUGUAGCGGUGAAAUGCGUAGAUAUCACGAAGAACACCGAUAGCGAAGGCGGCCUGCCAGAGUGAGACUGACGCUGAGGCACGAAGGCGUGGGUAGCAAACAGGAUUAGAUACCCUAGUAGUC
rnacentral:rRNA from 1 species